CGUGUAUUUCAAAGUUUCUUCCCUGAAUUAAAACCUUAUGUAUUUACCCCUUAUUAUCAUGUUAUGCACAAUAUGUUUACUUAACUCCUUCCUUAAAUAACUUCCACCCUUUACCUUUCAAAUUUGAACUCCUUAAUUAAAUGGAUUUUUGCUACCCAUUGAUUCUAAUUGAUAUAUAAUUAUUUUCUUGCCUUGUUCCCUGCC
rnacentral:lncRNA from 1 species